AAUAUCUCCAUCAUCUUCUAUGAAUGGCCUAAACUACCCUUCAAAUCAACCACCACCACAACUUUAUUCAAUUCAAUCCAUUCUAAACAACUUUCCUCAUUUACAAAGCCUCCACUUACAAAAAAGAAAAAAAAGCACCAUCAAUAAUCUGUGAACAAGGGAAACCACACACAUAGCUUUAAUUUGAUCUAAUUUCUUCAUGGAGGACCAACCAUUAUCAUCAAAAUCAAAGACUGCUGCUUUGGAUCAAACCCUUCAUUCAAUUGGGUUUGAAAUUGAAGACUUGUCACCACAAAAAAUCUCUGGUCGUCUCCCUGUCACCCAGAAAUGCUGCCAGUUUGAUUUUUGCAUGGGGCAGCCAUUCAAGGUGCUUCAUGGAGGGGUAUCAGCAUUGAUAGCAGAGUCUUUGGCAAGCAUGGGAGCACACAUGGCUUCUGGUUACAAAAGAGUGGCUGGAAUUCAACUAAGCAUCAACCAUUUGAAAAGAGCAGAGAUUGGUGACUUGGUCUACGCGGAAGCUACACCUUUAAAUGUCGGCAAAACCAUUCAGGUGUGGGAGGUGAGACUCUCGAAGAUUGAUGCUUCAAAUUCACAAAACAGAUCCUUGGUUUCAUCUUCUAGGGUAACUCUACUAUCCAACAUGCCCGUCCCAGAUCAUGCAAAAGAUGCUGCCAAACCGCUAAAGAACUUUGCAAAACUCCUUGGAAGAAAAGACAAAACGCAAAUGGAAUCUAAUCCUAACAGAAUUGUGCCACCUCAGCCGACAAGAUGAAAUAAAGGUGGAUUGCUACGUUGCUGGGCACCUUUUUCUGCCAGCUCAUUCCACGAAAUCCCGCAGGUAACAUGGUUUGGAGUCAAGGAGCAUAUGUAGAGGCAGAGGCAGCACGACACAGAGGAAUGAAAUGAGAACUAUAUUUUCUGAUGGUAAAAGGGACAAUGAUUCACUAAGAAAAAUUCAAUUGAAGGAGUUACUUAAUUUAAUCUUAUGCUCUUUCCCUAUAUUUAGGUUCUGUUAUGAAAAAUUUCUCUAUAACUAUUUAUAAAAGAAGAAAAUAAGAAGAAAAGAGAUAAUAAUAUUCUCCAAAAGUUAAAAUUAAUAAAUGCAGAAGUUAAAAAUAAGUUUUUUUUUUUAAAAAAAGCUAAUGCAAGAUAACUUCAACUAGAGUUAGCUUAUGCUUAAGCUAAUUUUAAUUUUGGAGAAGCUUAUUUUAUUUUUUUCUUAGUUUCUUAUAUAAUAUGAAAAACCAAACAAUGAUUUAUUUACUUUGUGCCCCUUUUUUUAUUCAAUGACUUAUUUCCCCAUUUUCAAAUAUUUUUUUCCCAUUUUGGAUAUCUAGCUAUGGUUACAUCGAUUCUAUAUAAGAUUUUCUUACUCAGUUAUGUAUUCCCUCUUCAGCUAUCAGAUACUUGAUAUUGAAAUCUGAUAGAUGAUUUCAAGCAUAAAUAUAGCCAUGUCAUGUCUUAUAUAUAAUUUCUAAAAAUUUUCAUAUCCUGAUAUAUGUUACCAACUAUAAAUGAUUAAAGAAAUAGUGUAGAUUCUAUUGAUGAACAAGGAAAUAACAGGAAAUUGAAAGAUAAUUUGAUAGAAGGACAUCUAUCAGGCAAGCCAAAUGACUCCCCUCGUUACUGAAGACUCACAGUGAUCUCACACUCUCUAUAAUUGAUGAUCCUCUCUUGCCUCCCCCUUAUUAUAUAUAUUAAACUCACUAUGUCAUUCUUUGCCUUAUUUUGUUGCUUAUGUUUCCUAUAGUAUACUUGCCAAACCUUGGGACUAUUUUCCAAAUUUUGUAUCUGCUGGACCAAGUCUUCUGCUCGAUUUCUAUCAAUACCACCCAUAUAACAACAACCUUGUCCUCAAGGUUGAAAUUUGGGAAUUGGCUUUGGAUGAAAAUAUCAUUUUUCCAAGUCACAUUCUCAACUAGACUUUCCUUCCACUUGAUCAAGCCUUGCCAGGCUGUAGCACCCAUUUUGUGACACUUCUUUGGCCUAAAACGGCCUCUGGUUCAAUGUCAGUAUUAGUUGGAAUUACCUUAACUUAGCCUUUCUUAAUUGUAAGACGUGAAAAAUUGGAUGGAUUGAAGACUAUGAUGGAAGUUGGAAUUUGUAAGCAACUUCCCCACUUAAGUAUUUUGUCAGUCAUAAUGCUUUCCUUGCUCAAUUCUUUUCUGCAUUUUGAUCAAUGAAGUAGAGUUAAACUGAUUUAUGGUGGGUUGCAUUUUCUGAGUGGUGUUGGUUAUCUAUGGUGACAGUAAUUCAGUGGAUAAAUUUUAUAGAAGUAACUCAAGUAAGCAUAUGUAUGUAAUCACUGCAUGUAACUCUACUCCAAUAAUUCAAAACACCAAAUAAGUUUAACUCUACUUUAGUAAUUCACUGCAUAUAUAUGCUCAUCUAUGUUUGUCAUCUUUCUGCGGUUUGGUAUUUGGUUGUUUUAAGUCUUCUUUUAUAGAAGUAAGGAUAUAUAAUUUAUUUAAUUUGCACUGUCUGGAUUUCCAUGUCUAUCAAACAAUUUCUUGGCAAAAGUAACAUUAAUUGAAGAUAUACAACAGCUGCUAUUUUAUAACUCAAAAAAUGGAAUACAACAAUUCUUAAACUUUCAGUUCAUCCUCAUAAACAAUAGUUUAAUAUGAUAUUCUGAUGAGAAUCAAAUAAGAAACAAUGAUAUUGAAGCAAUAAAAGGAUUUGGUGGGCCAAUGACAAGGGUGCGUGAUAAGAAAACAAAGGAAGCCUUGAACGAAAUGGUGGCAAUUGUCACUGAAGCAGAUUCACAUCUAGAAGGAUUAAGUCAAUCAACUACAUAAAGCAACUAGAGGAAUGAAGAUGAUGGACUGAUUUGGAUGAUGACCCAUGAAGAUAUAAUAUCUAGUUUUGUUUUAUAUUAAACAAAGAUGUAAUUAGAUGCUUGGGUUGUUGCUGUGUUGAGUCUUUUGACUGGAUUACAUGUUAAUUAAUAAAGUCACUAACUUGACAUAAUUA